rnacentral:rRNA from 1 species
GCUUAGCCCUAAACACAGAUAGUAUUAAUACAAUACUACCCGCCAGAGAACUACAAGCGAAAAGCUUAAAACUCAAAAGACUUGGCGGUGCUUCAAAUCAACCUAGAGGAGCCUGUCCUAUAAUCGAUACCCCACGUUCUACCUUACCGCCCUUAGACAAUCAGCCUAUAUACCGCCGUCGUAAGCCUACCUUAUGAAAGAAAUAAAAGUAGGCAAAAAAGCUAAUAACAAACACGUCAGGUCAAGGUGUAGCACACGGGGCGGCAGAGAUGGGCUACAUUUUUUCCACAAACAACAUACGAAUAACAUGUUGAAAUAACAUGUUUGAAGGCGGAUUUAGUAGUAAGAUGGGCAAGAAAACCUAUCUUAAACCUGCUCUGAAGCGCGCACACACCG